CUGUCUGAGGGAGGCCGGUGUGCCAAGGAGGAAGGUUGGGCCCAAAUGGAGUCCCAGCAGGCUUUCCCCAGCCAGACUUUGCCCUUUAUGACUAACAUUAAGCUCUACUUAUAUGUGCCAGAUGCUACGCUGAGUGCUUUAUUUGCGUAAUCACCCGAAAUCUCCUCAACAGUCCUGGACCCUGGAAGGAUCAUGACUCGGGUACCAAGAAGAAAAGGAAGAUUAUAAAGGAAUCAAGCACAGGAUGCACAAGAAUAUCAUCUGCGAUCAAGAUAAUCUGCUGGCCAUCCGCAGCGGUGGUUCAGACACAUCAGAAUCAGCAUCUGGCCAAACAACAGGCUCCCGGGGUUCAGCUUUGGAUUUGGCCCCGCCUCUGCACAUAGGUCGCGUGAGGGCGUCUGUUCCCGCUCAGA